GGUGAAUCUGAAUAACUACGCAGAUCGCACGGUCUCGCACCGGCGACAUAUCCUUCAAGUGUCUGCCUUAUCAACUUUCGAUGGUAGUUUAUAUGACUACCAUGGUUGUAACGGGUAACGGAGAAUAAGGGUUCGACUCCGGAGAGGGAGCCUGAGAAACGGCUACCACAUCC
rnacentral:rRNA from 15 species